GCUGAGAUAGCUCAGUAGGCAGAGCACGUCCUUGGUAAGGACGAGGUCGUCGGUUCGAGCCCGAUUCUCAGCUCCA
rnacentral:tRNA from 1 species